rnacentral:ncRNA from 1 species
UAUAAAAUGAUGAAAAGACUAGUAGCUUUAUUUGGUUAAAAAGCAGAGAACAGACUGGUGGUGAAAAGUCUGUAACCACAUAAAAGUGAAUUACAUCUUGGAGUUUCAGUGUGAAAGCAUUGCGUUUAUCUUACGAUAUAAAGAUUAAGAGGCAUAUUUAUGCAAAUUAAGGUGGUACCACGGGCCUUCCCGUCCUUAGC